rnacentral:lncRNA from 10 species
AGAGCAGGUAGUCAGCCAAGGCUUCAUAGUUCUCACCCACGGCAAUUCAGCUAGCAAACUAGAGACACUUCCCCAAGAAGACACAGCGUGGCAAGACUGCUGAGACGCAUAAAGAAAUCUUAGCUGGAAUGCCUUCUCAGAAUCUUGAUUUUCAAAGUGAUGGAUUGGGAGAUCCCAAGCCAUGAAUAAAGGGUGCUCAUCACAGAUGGAACAAUGGCGAGAGCACACCUGGACAGGGGAGGGGCAGGAGUUCUGAUUCCUGACACAGGUUUCCUGGUUGAAUGUUCUGUUGUAGAAGAAUGCAACUGAGUUUUCUAAACAGAUCUUCUUCUUGACAUCCUUGCUGAACGAGAGCAAAGGAGACAGCUGGGAGCAGAUGGGCAAAUCCCAGUUUGCCCAAAGAAAUGUCUAUUUUCCAAGGGGCAUGAAGAAUUUAGGAAUAAAGCAGAUCUGAUUUCUAAUUCUGACUUUGCUACUGGCAAAUUGUGUGGACUCAGGAAAGUGACCGGCCCUCUUUAAGACUCAGUGUGCUUACCUCUGAAAUGGAGCUGUCAAUCACAUCUGCCUCACAGGCUUGUUCUGAGGAUGAAGUGAGAAAAUGCCCACGAGGUGCUGGUUGCAGCAGCUGGUGCAUAGAGCUUAAAAAGGAUGCAGUCCCAAA